rnacentral:rRNA from 1 species
UACGUAGGGUGCAAGCGUUAAUCGGAAUUACUGGGCGUAAAGCGUGCACAGGCGGUUUUGUAAGUCAGAUGUGAAAUCCCCGGGCUUAACCUGGGAACUGCAUUGGUGACUGGCAGGCUUUGAGUGUGGCAGAGGGAGGUAGAAUUCCACGUGUAGCAGUGAAAUGCGUAGAGAUGUGGAGGAAUACCGAUGGCGAAGGCAGCCUCCUGGGCCAACACUGACGCUCAUGCACGAAAGCGUGGGGAGCAAACAGG